rnacentral:rRNA from 1 species
AAUAUUGGACAAUGGGCGCAAGCCUGAUCCAGCCAUGCCGCGUGAGUGAUGAAGGCCNNNGGGUUNUCACGCUCUUUCACCGGNGACNAUAAUGACGGUAUCCGGAGAAGAAGCGCCGGCUGACUUCGUGCCAGCAGCCGCGGUAAUACGAAGGGGGCUAGCGUGGCUCGGAUUUACUGGGCGUAAAACGCACGUAGGCGGAUUGGUCAGUUAGGGGUGAAAUCCCGGAGCUCAACUCCGGAACUGCCUUUAAUACUGCCAAUCUAGAGACCGAGAGAGGUGAGUGGAACUCCUAGUGUAGAGGUGGAAUUCGUAGAUAUUAGGAAGAACACCAGUGGCGAAGGCGGCUCACUGGCUCGGAACUGACGCUGAGGUGCGAAAGCGUGGGGAGCAAACA